AAAGGAAUUGACGGGGGCCCGCACAAGCAGCGGAGCAUGUCGUUUAAUUCGAAGCAACGCGAAGAACCUUACCAGGGCUUGACAUCCCAAGAAUCUUGUGGAAACACAGGAGUGCCCUUCGGGGAACUUGGAGACAGGUGGUGCAUGGUUGUCGUCAGCUCGUGUCGUGAGAUGUUGGGUUAAGUCCCGCAACGAGCGCAACCCCUAUGAUUAGUUACCAGCGGGUAAUGCCGGGGACUCUAGUAAGACUGCCGAGGAUAACUCGGAGGAAGGUGGGGACGACGUCAAAUCAUCAUGCCCCUUAUGCCCUGGGCUACAGACGUGCUACAAUGGCCGCAACAAAGGGAAGCGAUAUGGUAACAUAGAGCAAAGCCGAAAAAAGCGGUCUCAGUUCGGAUUGUGGGCUGCAACCCGCCCACAUGAAGUUGGAGUUGCUAGUAAUCGCGGAUCAGCAUGCCGCGGUGAAUGCGUUCCCGGGCCUUGUACACACCGCCCGU
rnacentral:rRNA from 1 species